UACGGAAGGCAGCAGUGGGGAAUAUUGCACAAUGGGCGCAAGCCUGAUGCAGCCAUGCCGCGUGUAUGAAGAAGGCCUUCGGGUUGUAAAGUACUUUUCAGUCGUGAGGAAGGUGUUAAGGUUAAUAACCUUAGCAAUUGACGUUAGCGACAGAAGAAGCACCGGCUAACUCCGUGCCAGCAGCCGCGGUAAUACGGAGGGUGCGAGCGUUAAUCGGAAUUACUGGGCGUAAAGGGCACGCAGGCGGUUAAUUAAGUUGGAUGUGAAAUCCCCGGGCUUAACCUGGGAAUGGCAUUCAAGACUGGUUAGCUAGAGUCUUGUAGAGGGGGUAGAAUUCCAUGUGUAGCGGUGAAAUGCGUAGAGAUGUGGAGGAAUACCGGUGGCGAAGGCGGCCCCUGGACAAAGGACUGACGCUCAUGUGCGAAAGCGUGGGGAGCAAACGAGGGAUUAGAUA
rnacentral:rRNA from 1 species